CCGUGUGUGUCUGCAUGUGUGUGUGUGUCUGCAUGUGUGCGUGUGUGUGGGUGUGUGUGUGUGUGUGUGUUUGUGCAGGAAUAUGAAUAAUGCAGAAGACGCCUGUAGGAGUGUGAGGACUGCAAGGAGGGCAGAUGGUCGCCUGCUGAUAGGACAGAAUCCAGACAACGAGAUGUUCAGAGGGAGAUGAUGCCACAUCUGGUCCAGCUGAUGGAAGGUCUUGAAGUUCUCUGACUGGCCUGGACUGAAGAUGGUCGUCUCACUGGAUUUAAGGUUCAGAUGCUCAGUAACAAACUCCACCAAUGAGCCAACAGGGAAGCUUUAGGUUUAUUAAAUGUUGCUAUGAAGGUUUCACUGUUUUUCUUUGUGAAUGCAAUGAGCUCCAACUGAAACUUGAAUUAGAACUUAGAAGUAAAUCCUUCCAUCUGAAAGGAUUUAGUUGCAUUAAUAACCUCAUAACAUUCUAAUUUUUAUUCCAGUCUUGGUUGGAAAUAGAAUCUCUGUAUUGAUUCAGGUAAAAACUGAACUUCACAGCAUGUUGGAGCAAAACAACCAGAUAAAAACUGUGAUGGUGUUGGAUUGUCAGACUGUAAUGUUGCAGCUCAAAGCAGCUUUUCUAUCUCAGUUCAUUCUGACAUUCAGCUAUGAAUCAACACAGCAGAUGGUGAUCCAUGCUGUGGAAGUCUCACAUCUCCUGAUUUAAUGGAGCUGCUUUGCACUUUUUACACUGUUUAUUCACCAACACUUUAUUUAAUAAAAGUCCCAUCUAGUUUUCAUGAGGAAUGUGAUGUUUUAAUUUCUCUGUGAAAAACUGCAGUCUAAUGGAACAGCUGGAUUUGUAACAUGUGUCCUGAUAUUGAGCAUGAAGUAUUGAUCAGAAUACUUAUGGUUAACAGUCAUCCCUGAAGUUUUACAUUAAAAUCUUUACUUGUGUUGUGAACUUUGGUAAGAAGCAGAAACUUUAGCGUUGCCAUGGAUACAUGAGUGUUAAAUUCUGUCCAUGUUUCAUUUUGGGAAAUUCAGUCCAGCAGAUGAAUUUGUUUUUACUGCCAGCUACAUUCAGUCUGAGAUAUUAAGAAUAAAUAAAUGUGCAUAAUGUGGAAAUGAACAGAUUCUAUUUUUAUUUAUUCCUACAGCUGCUGCAGGAAAGUUCCAGAAUGUGGAGGAAUUUAGUCUCACAAUCACAGACAAUAAAUAUUAUCUAAGUCUGGUUAUUGUUGUUUAUCAGCACAAUACAAAAAGAUUCAUGUUACAAAUAUUCCAGUUAAGACUCUAGAAUAUCAGGAUUUAUGUAAAUUUACCUCAAUAAUAUGAAUGUUCAGGUUAAGAUUAUACAGUGAUAUUUAUUAUGUAAGUUUAGCUGAUUAAAGAUUAUGACUCUGCACUAAAAUAUUAUUUAAAUUGACAUCAUUAUUAUAAUAUUUAGGGUCAGACUCUACAGUAUUGAGAUUAAGAAAUCAAAUAUUCUAUAAAAUGUAAAUACACUGAACUCAUUUGGAUAUAUUUAAGUGAGACUCUACAAUAUUAUUUGACACAAAUCUAUCUAAAUCCAAAUUUGAAUCAUUUUUACUCCAAACAUUUACUGGACUGAUUUAAACAUUAAAAUCACUCCUUUCUAAUCCUCUGCUGUACGUUCAAACCUGAGGCCUUAAAUAGAAACACACAAGUAUCUGAUUGAAGGAACUUCUGCAGAGUCCUGGUUCCAGAACAUGAUGAUAGAAUUAUAGACAAACUUUAACAAAAGCUGCCUGAGAGUUUACAGCUUUUUAUGUUAGAUUUCUUCAGUAAUUUAAUGAGAGUUAUCAGCAAUAAUCAAGUGUUCAUUUGAUGAACUUCAUUUCCUAAAACAUCCAGAAUUGGAGCUCAUAUCUUUGGCAGCUGUAAAGUUUCUGCUCCUUCAAAGUUCACAACACAAUGAAUGAAUUCCUAAAACACUCUCAAUGCUGGAGAGCGUUUGAUGCUGAAGCAGUGAUCAGUUUUUCUGUUUCUUCUCUGGAGAUGCACAAUGAGGGACGUCUGCAGAGACUGAGAAAGAGUCUCACCACAUCCUGACAUGAGGAAAAAGACUUUAUUGAAGACUACAAUGAGAAAAACUAUCAGACAGCAGACGGCUGCAUUCAAGGUGAGAUCUGAACAUUUGAUCUGCAACAGGAAUUCAAUAACUGCAGCAUGAGCUUCAUUUCAGUCUGUAGCUGCUGAAUUCAUGGAUGAAUCAUCUGGUACUAGAGAGGAAGACCAUCAAACAUCCACGUCAGCUGAUUGAGGUCCAAGAGUCUCACCCAACAAACAGCCUACAGAGUGAAGACCUGGAAUCUGAUUGGACGGCCUCCUAUUCGGCCACAUGUGUGAACAAAUGCCUCUAAGCUGAUUUGUUUUCUAAAAUAAAUCUAGUUUGAGUCCUAA